rnacentral:rRNA from 1 species
GACGAACCGAGCGAACGUUGUUCGGAAUCACUGGGCUUAAAGGGCGCGUAGGCGGGCUGUCAAGUCUGGGGUGAAAUCUCGCGGCUCAACCGCGGAACUGCCUCAGAUACUGACGGCCUCGAGGGGGGUAGGGGCGAGCGGAACGGGUGGUGGAGCGGUGAAAUGCGUUGAUAUCACUCGGAACUCCGGUGGCGAAGGCGGCUCGCUGGACCUUUUCUGACGCUGAGGCGCGAAAGCUAGGGGAGCAAACGGGAUUAGAUACCCCGGUAGUCCUAGCCCUAAACGUUGGGUACUAGAUAGUAGACUAGACAUGGGUUUACUGUCGAAGCAAAAGUGCUAAGUACCCCGCCUGGGGAGUAUGGUCGCAAGGCUGAA